rnacentral:rRNA from 1 species
CCGCACAAGCAGCGGAGCAUGUUGCUUAAUUCGAGGCAACGCGAAGAACCUUACCUGGGUUUGACAUGGUAGGAAAAGCCACAGAGAUGUGGUGUCCUUUUGGGCCUACUGCAGGUGGUGCAUGGCUGUCGUCAGCUCGUGUCGUGAGAUGUUGGGUUAAGUCCCGCAACGAGCGCAACCCUUGUCCUAUGUUGCCAGCACGUAAUGGUGGGGACUCGUAGGAGACUGCCGGGGUCAACUCGGAGGAAGGUGGGGACGACGUCAAGUCAUCAUGCCCCUUAUGUCCAGGGCUGCAAACAUGCUACAAUGGCUGGUACAAAGGGCUGCGAAACCGCGAGGUCGAGCGAAUCCCAUAAAGCCAGUCUCAGUUCGGAUCGGAGUCUGCAACUCGACUCCGUGAAGCUGGAGUUGCUAGUAAUCCCGGAUCAGCAACGCCGGGGUGAAUACGUUCCCGGGCCUU